AAGUCCCUCAAAGAAAAACCCAAGUACUUGACUUGAGAAUGUCUAGAUCCAAAUAUGUACCGAACCACAAACACCGAACAAGCUUUCGUCCAAGAUGUUCAUGGUUCAGAUGCCUUCAUUCAGACGUCCAUGAUUCAGCCAACGGUCAUAAAUGCCUGGAAUCUUAGAGUCCAUUACACCCUUUAACAUCAUUUAAUCUAGAUUGUGUGAAAUAAGGUAAGCAUUGAUAAUCCAUUGUAGCAGUUCCAGGACAAAGCCUAUU
rnacentral:misc_RNA from 1 species